rnacentral:rRNA from 1 species
AUUGAACGCUGGCGGCAGGCCUAACACAUUCAAGUCGAACGAGUGGCGGACGGGUGAGUAAUGUCUGGGAAACUGCACGAUGGAGGGGGAUAACUACUGGAAACGGUAGCUAAUACCGCAUACCAUCGGAUGUGCCCAGAUGGGAUUAGCUAGUCGGUGGGGUAACGGCGCACCUAGGCGACGAUCCCUAGCUGGGCUGAGAGGAUGACCAGCGAGACUGGACCUGAGACACGGUCCAGACUCCGACGGGAGGCAGCAGUGGGGAAGAUUGAACAAUGGGCGCAAUGCUGAUGCAGCCAUGCCGCGUUUAUGAAGAAGGCCUUCGGUUUUGAAAGUAGUUUCAGCGAGGAGGCGUUACUCGCAGAAGAAGCACCGGCUAACUCCGUGCCAGCAGCCGCGGUAAUUC